CCUACGGGUGGCAGCAGUGAGGAAUAUUGGUCAAUGGGCGAGAGCCUGAUCCAGCCAAGUCGCGUGAGGGAAGACGGUCCUAUGGAUUGUAAACCUCUUUUGUCGGGGAGCAAAAAGGCCUCGUGAGGCCACAAGUGAGAGUACCCGAAGAAAAAGCAUCGGCUAACUCCGUGCCAGCAGCCGCGGUAAUACGGAGGAUGCGAGCUGUAGCCGGAUUUAUUGGGUUUAAAGGGUGCGUAGGCGGACUGGAAAGCCAGCGGUAAAAGCGGGGGGCUAAACCUCUUUCCGCCGUUGAAACUGUCGGACUUGAGUGGGCGAGAAGUAUGCGGAAUGCGUGGUGUAGCGGUGAAAUGCAUAGAUAUCACGCAGAACACCGAUUGCGAAGGCAGCAUACCGGCGCCCGACUGACGCUGAGGCACGAAAGCGUGGGUAUCGAACAGGAUUAGAUACCCUUGUAGUC
rnacentral:rRNA from 1 species